ACUCACUCUCUCACUCACUCACUCUCUCACUCACUCACUCUCUCACUCACUCACUCUCUCACUCACUCACUCUCUCACUCACUCACUCACACACACACACACACACACACACUGAUUCUACUGUAUCAGGACGGACUGACAGAUUGACGGCAGUAUAAUGAUUCACUCCAAUCAGUCCAUUCACUCCAUCUUCUGCUGCUGCUGCUGUGCUCUACAGACCAGAAGCAGCACUCAUGUGGAUGUGAACCCCAGCAGAUAUCCGGGAUCCGUCUACACGACUCAGCUGUCCCAGAAGAAGCUUCCUCCGUCUCCUCCUGAGGAUGAUGAUAGCGGCGGUGCUGAUGUCUGCAAUUCUCUCUCUCAGGAACAAGGGCUUCAUUCCCAGUAACUAUGUUACAGA
rnacentral:lncRNA from 1 species